AGCAGCCGCGGUAAUUCCAGCUCCAAUAGCGUAUAUUAAAGUUGUUGCAGUUAAAAAGCUCGUAGUUGAAUUUCGGGAUUUUACCGUUGGUCGGGCUAUUGUCUGUACUGGCGUGUAGAAUUUCUACCUUCUGGGGAACUAUCAUGUUAUUAAUUUAGCGUGGUAGGAAACCAGAGCCUUUACCUUGAAAAAAUUAGAGUGUUCAAAAGCAGGCUUAUGUCUGAAUACAUUAGCAUGGAAUAAUAAAAUAGGACGGUGGUCCUGUUUUGUUGGUUUCUGAAUCACCGUAAUGAUUAAUAGGGAUAGUUGGGGGCAUUAGUAUUCAAUUGUCAGAGGUGAAAUUCUUGGAUUUAUUGAAGACUAACUACUGACGAAAGCAUCUGCCAA
rnacentral:misc_RNA from 1 species